CCAUGUAUGCCUCAGUACGGCGAGUGAAGCGGCAAAAGCUCAAAUUUUAAAGCUGGCACCUUCGGUGUCCGCGUUGUAAUUUUGUGAGGCAUCUCCGGGUAGGGCGCCGGCCUAAGUUCCUUGGAACAGGACGUCAUAGAGGGUGAGAAUCCCGUGCUUGGCUGGCUGUCCCCGUCCAUGUGAGGUGUCUUCGACGAGUCGAGUUGUUUGGGAAUGCAGCUCAAAAUGGGUGGUAAAUUUCAUCUAAAGCUAAAUAUUGGUGGGAGACCGAUAGCGCACAAGUAGAGUGAUCGAAAGAUGAAAAGCACUUUGAAAAUAGAGUUAAAAAGUACGUGAAAUUGUUGAAAGGGAAGCGCUUGAGACCAGACUUCGGUGGGGGGUGAUCAGCUGUCCUUCUGGGCGGUGCACUUGCUCCCCUCCGGGCCAGCAUCGGUUGGGGCGGCGGGAUAAAGAUCCCGGGAAUGUGGCUCCUUUCGGGGAGUGUUAUAGCCCGGGUGAAUGCCGCCAGUUCCGACCGAGGACCGCGCCUUCGGGCUAGGAUGCUUGGCAUAAUGGUCUUCAGCGACCCGUCUUGAAACCCCCGGACCA
rnacentral:rRNA from 1 species